GUCUAUGGCCAUACCACCCUGAACAUGCCUGAUCUCGUCUGAUCUUGGAAGCUAAGCAGGGUUGGGCCUGGUUAGUACUUGGAAAGGAGACAGUGUUAAAAUAAUACUAGAAAGACUACAGUGC
rfam:Cavia porcellus supercont2_2 genomic scaffold, whole genome shotgun sequence.